CUACGGGGCGCUGCAGUUAGGAAACCUUUACAAUGCGCGAAAGCGUGAUAGGGCGACUUUGAGUGCCAUCACUGAUGGCUUUUGCCAAGUUUAAACCGCUUGGCGAAUAAGGGGUGGGUAAUAUGCGUGCCAGCCGCCGCGGUAAUACGUAAGCCCCAAGUGGUACUCACUAAUAUUGGGCCUAAAACACCUGUAGCCGGUUUUUCAAGUCUUUAGUGAAAUCGGACAGCUUAACUGUUCGAAUUGCUAAAGAUACUGUUAAACUAGGAGCCGGAAGGCGCGAACGGUAUUUUAUGGGUAACGGUGAAAUGUUAUGAUCCAUAGAGGACCACCAGUAGCGAAGGCGGUUCACGAGAACGGACUCGACGGUGAGAGAUGAAAGCUGGGGGAGCGACCAGGAUUAGAUACCCGUGUAGUC
rnacentral:rRNA from 1 species